rnacentral:rRNA from 1 species
AGGACGAACGCUGGCGGCGCGCUUAACACAUGCAAGUCGAGCGAGAACCAGGGCUUCGGCCCUGGGGACAGCGGCGAACGGGUGAGUAACACGUGGAUAACCUGCCCUCGGCACCGGGAUAGCCCGGGGAAACCCGGAUUAAUACCGGAUAGCCUUUCCGGCUUUCGAGUCGGUUCGAAAAGGUAGCUUCGGCCUCUGGCCGAGGAUGGGUCCGCGGCGGAUUAGCUUGUUGGUGGGGUAAUGGCCUACCAAGGCACCGAUCCGUAGCUGGUCUGAGAGGACGAUCAGCCACACUGGGACUGAGACACGGCCCAGACUCCUACGGGAGGCAGCAGUGGGGAAUCUUGCGCAAUGGGCGAAAGCCUGACGCAGCGACGCCGCGUGAGGGAGGAAGGCCUUCGGGUUGUAAACCUCUUUCAGGAGGGACGAAGCUACUCGGGUUAAUAGCCCAGAGGGUGACGGUACCUCCAGAAGAAGCCCCGGCUAACUACGUGCCAGCAGCCGCGGUAAUACGUAGGGGGCAAGCGUUGUCCGGAUUUACUGGGCGUAAAGAGCGUGUAGGCGGCCAAACAGGUCCGUUGUGAAAACUGGAGGCUCAACCUCCAGACGUCGACGGAAACCGUGUGGCUAGAGUCCGGAAGAGGAGAGUGGAAUUCCUGGUGUAGCGGUGAAAUGCGCAGAUAUCAGGAAGAACACCAAUGGCGAAGGCAGCUCUCUGGGACGGUACUGACGCUGAGACGCGAAAGCGUGGGGAGCGAACAGGAUUAGAUACCCUGGUAGUCCACGCCGUAAACGAUGGGUGCUAGGUUGUGGGAGGGGGUCGACUCCUUCCGUGCCGUAGCUAACGCAUUAAGCACCCCGCCCUGGGGAGUACGGCCGCAAGGCUAA